rnacentral:tRNA from 1 species
AAAUAAGAAGCAAAAAAUUGCAUUUAAUUUCGACUUAAAAAUCAGAGUAAUUAACUCCUUAUUUA